AAGAUCAUACUUCAUAGGAUCAUUUCUAUAGUAUGAUUAGCGAGUUCACUCACCGAACUUCGCAAAGUUCCCAACCACGAUGAUGUGAGAAGGGAUCUCCUCUUGAGCGUGAAGAGGACUCGAGUGAAAGUUUAUACUUUCAUUGAGUCAUUGAUGAUCGCACCCUUUGCUAUUGCAGCAAGGGGAAGGAAGAGAUUCGUUCUGAGUGGU
rnacentral:snoRNA from 1 species